rnacentral:rRNA from 1 species
GAUGAACGCUGGCGGCGUGCCUAAUACAUGCAAGUCGAGCGAACGGACGAGAAGCUUGCUUCUCUGAUGUUAGCGGCGGACGGGUGAGUAACACGUGGAUAACCCACCUAUAAGACUGGGAUAACUUCGGGAAACCGGCGCUAAUCCCGGAUGAUAUUUUGAACCGCAUGGUUCAAUAGUGAAAGUCGGUCUUGCUGUCACUUAUAGAUGGAUCCGCGCUUCUUUAGCUAGUUGUUAAGGUAACGGCUUACCAAGGCAACGAUGCAUAGCCGACCUGUGGGGGGGAACGGCCACACAGAGGCUGAGCGGCGACACUGACACCUAGGGGAGGCAGCAAUAGGGAAUCUAGCGAGAAGGGCGAAAGCCUGACGAAGCGGCGGCAGCUGAAUGAAGCAGGUCUGCGGGUCGUAAAACGCUGUUAUUGGGGAAGAACAUAUGUGUAAGUAACGGUGCGCGUCUUGACGGAACCUAAACAGAAGGCCACGCCAAAUUACGU